AUGAACGCUGGCGGCGUGCCUAAUACAUGCAAGUCGAGCGAACAGACGAGGAGCUUACUCCUCUGACGUUAGCGGCGGACGGGUGAGUAACACGUGGAAAACCUACCUAUAAGACUGGGAUAACUUCGGGAAACCGGAGCUAAUACCGGAUAACAUGUUGAACCGCAUGGUUCAACAGUGAAAGACGGUCUUGCUGUCACUUAUAGAUGGAUCCGCGUCGCAUUAGCUAGUUGGUAAGGUAACGGCUUACCAAGGCAACGAUGCGUAGCCGACCUGAGAGGGUGAUCGGCCACACUGGAACUGAGACACGGUCCAGACUCCUACGGGAGGCAGCAGUAGGGAAUCUUCCGCAAUGGGCGAAAGCCUGACGGAGCAACGCCGCGUGAGUGAAGAAGGUCUUCGGAUCGUAAAACUCUGUUAUUAGGGAAGAACAAAUGUGUAAGUAACUAUGCACGUCUUGACGGUACCUAAUCAGAAAGCCACGGCUAACUACGUG
rnacentral:rRNA from 1 species